rnacentral:rRNA from 1 species
CCUACGGGGGGCAGCAGUGGGGAAUAUUGGACAAUGGGGGCAACCCUGAUCCAGCCAUGCCGCGUGUGUGAAGAAGGCCCUCGGGUUGUAAAGCACUUUCAGUGAGGAAGAACGCCUGGUGGUUAAUACCCAUCAGGAAAGACAUCACUCACAGAAGAAGCACCGGCUAACUCCGUGCCAGCAGCCGCGGUAAUACGGAGGGUGCGAGCGUUAAUCGGAAUUACUGGGCGUAAAGCGCGCGUAGGUGGCUUGAUAAGCCGGUUGUGAAAGCCCCGGGCUCAACCUGGGAACGGCAUCCGGAACUGUCAAGCUAGAGUGCAGGAGAGGAGGGUAGAAUUCCCGGUGUAGCGGUGAAAUGCGUAGAGAUCGGGAGGAAUACCAGUGGCGAAGGCGGCCUUCUGGACUGACACUGACACUGAGGUGCGAAAGCGUGGGUAGCAAACAGGAUUAGAUACCCUAGUAGUC